AGCAGCACAGGAAGGCUGGUGGGCAACACACUCUAUCCCCUCAGCAGCGACCCCAGCAGGUGAAAUUCCUCACCGACAACAACACUGC